CGCCCUUUUCCGGUUGAUCCUGCCGGACCCGACUGCUAUCGGAUUGAGAUUUAGCCAUGCGAGUCGAACGUCCCCCUGUUGCGGGGGGCGUGGCGUACGGCUCAGUAACACGUAGUCAACCUGCCCUGGAGACAAGAACAACCCCGGGAAACUGGGAUUAAUUCUUGAUAGGUCAUCUCAUCUGGAAGGAGAGAUGGCUUAAAGGGGUACGCGGGCUUCUUCUGCGUAUUCGCUCCAGGAUGGGACUGCGUCCGAUCAGGCUGUUGGCGGGGUAAUGGCCCACCAAACCUGUAACCGGUACGGGCCUUGAGAGAGGUGGCCCGGAGAUGGACACUGAGAGAAGGGUCCAGGUCCUACGGGGCGCAGCAGGCGCGAAACCUUCGCAAUGCGCGAAAGCGUGACGAGGUUAAUCCGAGUGACUUCCGCUGAGGAGGUCUUUUGUCAGCUGUAAAUAGGCAGGCGAAUAAGGGGAGGGCAAGCCUGGUGUCAGCCGCCGCGGUAAUACCAGCUCCUCGAGUGGUCGGGGCGAUUAUUGGGCCUAAAGCAUCCGUAGCCGGUUCCGUAGGUCCUCUGUUAAAUCCAACAGCUUAACUGUUGACCUGCAGAGGAUACCGCGGGACUAGGAGGCGGGAGAGGCGGACGGUACUCCGCGUGUAGGGGUAAAAUCCUUUGAUCCGCGGAAGACCACCAGUGGCGAAGGCGGUCCGCCAGAACGCGCUCGACGGUGAGGGAUGAAAGCUGGGGGAGCGAACCGGAUUAGAUACCCGGGUAGUCCCAGCCGUAAACGAUGCUAGCUAGAUGAUUCAUUCGCAAGUCGCGAAUGAAGUGUCGCAGGGAAGCCGUUAAGCUAGCCGCCUGGGGAGUACGGUCGCAAGACUGAAACUUAAAGGAAUUGGCGGGGGAGCACCACAAGGGGUGAAGCCUGCGGUUCAAUUGGAGUCAACGCCAGGAAACUUACCAGGAGAGACAGCAGGUUGAGGGUCAGUCUGAAGAACUUACCUGACGAGCUGAGAGGAGGUGCAUGGCCGUCGCCAGCUCGUGCCGUGAGGCGUCCUGUUAAGUCAGGCAACGAGCGAGACCCAAAGGGCGA
rnacentral:rRNA from 2 species